CUGGUUCAGGAUGAACGCUAGCGACAGGCCUAACACAUGCAAGUCAGGGGCAGCACAAGGAGCAAUCUGAGGUGGCGACCGGCGCACGGGUGAGUAACACGUAUGCAACCUGCCUGUAAGCGGGGAAUAACCCGUUGAAAGACGGACUAAUACCGCAUAAUACUAAAUUACUGCAUGGUAAUUUAUUUAAACAUUUAUGGCUUACAGAUGGGCAUGCGCAUGAUUAGCUAGUUGGAGAGGUAACGGCUCCCCAAGGCAACGAUCAUUAGGGGUUCUGAGAGGAAGGUCCCCCACACUGGUACUGAGACACGGACCAGACUCCUACGGGAGGCAGCAGUGAGGAAUAUUGGUCAAUGGACGAGAGUCUGAACCAGCCAAGUCGCGUGCAGGAAGAAUGUCCUAUGGAUUGUAAACUGCUUUUGCAGGGGAAUAAAGUGCAUCACGUGUGAUGUUUUGUAUGUACUCUGCGAAUAAGGAUCGGCUAACUCCGUGCCAGCCGCGGC
rnacentral:rRNA from 1 species